rnacentral:rRNA from 1 species
CCUACGGGUGGCAGCAGUGAGGAAUAUUGGUCAAUGGACGAGAGUCUGAACCAGCCAAGUAGCGUGAAGGAUGACUGCCCUAUGGGUUGUAAACUUCUUUUAUAUGGGAAUAAAAUGUUCCACGUGUGGGAUUUUGUAUGUACCAUAUGAAUAAGGAUCGGCCAACUACGUGCCAGCAGCCGCGGUAAUACGGAGGUUCCGAGCGUUAUCCGGAUUUAUUGGGUUUAAAGGGAGCGUAGGUGGAUGGUUAAGUCAGGUGUGAAAGUUUGCGGCUCAACCGUAAAAUUGCAGUUGAAACUGGCAGGCUUGAGUGCAGUAGAGGUGGGCGGAAUUCGUGGUGUAGCGGUGAAAUGCUUAGAUAUCACGAAGAACUCCGAUUGCGAAGGCAGCUCACUGGACUGCAACUGACACUGAGGCUCGAAAGUGUGGGUAUCAAACAGGAUUAGAUACCCCAGUAGUC